rnacentral:misc_RNA from 1 species
CCCGACAUAUAACAGCUUUCGAACCAAACCUGUUCCUUCCUUAAUGGCCAGAAACAUCAUCCAAGCAAAAUGGAACCACUCCAAAGAAGACGAAGAUGACGAGCAAGAAGAAGAAGAAGAAGCAUUGUCACUCUGCGAUCUUCCAAUCAACCUCGAGGACCCACCGAGGAACCAAGAACACUCUCGUCCCAACGAAGCAUCACAAGAGGAAUUCAAUUUCCGGUCGUGGGGUGCCCCCUUCUCCAAAGAACAUGAAAUGUGUGUUGCGGAUGAAGUCUUCUUCAAAGGCCAAAUCCUCCCAUUGCGCGUCUCGUUCAGCUCCGAGG